GCUAAUAAAUGCUUCGCCGACCACGACGAGUUGAAGGCGGCCGUUUAUCGAUACGUUGAAGGAGAUUGUGAUACUGAGAGCGAAUGCAACGUUGGCAAAGA
rnacentral:ribozyme from 1 species